UGGGGAAAGAAAUAAAAGAAGUACGUAAUCUGAUAUAUUAUUGUACGUGCAAGUAAAACCAGGCAAUGAAAUAUCUGAAUUGAAUGCUUUUGGGUAGUGAAAGGAGAUAAAGACUCAAAGUCUGGUCUGGUGCAUGAUAUUUGCAAUGGAGGAUGUUGAUGAGAUUCUUGUUCAACAAUGUCAUGGUACGUGUCGAAUUGCAGUGAAACCUUCAAGUACUA
rnacentral:lncRNA from 1 species